rnacentral:rRNA from 1 species
AUUGAACGCUGGCGGAAUGCUUUACACAUGCAAGUCGAACGGUAGAGGGGGCAACCCCUCGAGAGUGGCGAACGGGUGAGUAAUAUAUCGGAACGUGCCCAGUCGUGGGGGAUAACGUAGCGAAAGUUACGCUAAUACCGCAUACGAUCUAAGGAUGAAAGCGGGGGAUCGCAAGAGCUCGCGCGAUUGGAGCGGCCGAAAUCAGAUUAGGUUGUUGGUGGGGUAAAGGCUCACCAGGACAACGAUCUGUAGCUGGUCUGAGAGGAAGACCAGCCACACUGGAACUGGGACAUGGUCCAGACUCCUACGGGAGGCAGCAGUGGGGAAUUAUGGACAAUGGACGCAAGUCUGAUCCAGCCAUUCCGCGUGCAGGAUGAAGGCCCUCGUGUUGUAAACUGCUUUUGUACGAAACGAAAAGGUCUCUCUUAAUACGGGGGACUCAUGACGGUACCGUAAGAAUAAGCACCGGCUAACUACGUGCCAGCAGCCGCCGCCG